GCCCUCGUAGCUCAGUGGACAGAGCGGCGGUCCCCUAAACCGCGCGUCGGGAGUUCGAGUCUCUCCGAGGGUCCCA
rnacentral:tRNA from 1 species